CUCAGUUUGUACUUAAGGGCCUCGGUUUUAUUCCGGUGCUCGGAUUCAUCAUUGCAAGUGCACUCUCCGGUAACCACCGCGGGAAGUGAAACAAGAAGAAGGGAUGUCAAAAUUAUGAUCUUAUGAGAAUAACACCAUUGAAGACUGCUCAUGCUGAAACAGAGCAAGUAAAAAGACAAGUUUCAGAAAUUUUGAGGUAUGCAGUUGAGUCUUUUGUGAGUACUAUAUAGGGAAAGGUGCUUUGUCGAAUCUUUAAUUGAUUGGCCAAUUAAUUAACAAGCGUAUCUUGAUGGAUGGUGAACAGAACUCAGCAAAAAAAAGAUGUAUUUAUACUGUUUCUUUGAGUAGAACUUUGUAUUGGUGGAGUUGUCAUGUCUAGCAAUUAUGUGUGGCCAACUAAAUAUUAGGACAUUCGUAAUAUGUGGAGUGAAUGAAUUCUACAUCAAAUGUUCGGUAUCGAUAUUGGAAAUGUCUUUAGCUCCUCGGUUCAUUUCAUGACGUGAAAUCUUAGGUUAUGAGAUUUUUGCAAUGAUUAUAUCUUUUAGAAUGAUGUUUUAUUCGGA
rnacentral:lncRNA from 1 species